CGCCUGUUUAUCAAAAACAUAGUUUUAGAGAAAUCUUCUAAGAUAACGCCUGCCCAAUGAAAUAUUCAAUGGAUUUAAAGUAGCGUAUGUAGUUUGUCUCCUUAUUAGGACUAGUAUGAAUGGAUGCACCUAGCCUGACUGUCUCUUCCUAAAUAGAUUAAGUUAUUGAUUAGGUGAAAAAUCCUAAUGAGUUGAAAAAGACGAGAAGACCCUUUAGAGUUUUACGACAACGUUUUGAUGGGGCAUCAAAGGGUGAACACCCUAAACUUUGUAGUUUAAGCUUUAGAUCCUAAAAUAGAAAAAGGAAAAAUUACCUAAGGGAUAACAGCGUUAUCUUACCAGAGUUCUAAUUGAAGGUAAGGUUUGCGACCUCGAUGUUGGACUAGGGGACCCUCUUUUUGCAGAAGAAAAGAAGGUUAGCCUGUUCGGCUGUUCGGCUACUUACCCUACAUGAUCUGAGUUCAGACCGGAAU
rnacentral:rRNA from 1 species